AGACUCUGAAUUUUGUGGAGGAGAACUGGAGAACUGGGGUAAAUCCUUUCUCCCAGACGGCUGCAAGGCCGCACAAAAUUUUUAGCACAAGAAAUGGGUUUCAUCUUCAGCUGAUGGCACAGCUGGGCAGGGCUUGUGCUCUGUGGUGCAUCAGCUCAGCACGCAGGCCACUGCCUGCAGCAGCCGUGAGACAACAGGAGCACGGUUUCCCUUUCCAGAGGAAAAGGAGCCUGUGCCACCUCCUAAGCUGGAUUUGAUGUGUAUUUGUAGGAGACAAAUUUCUGUAUGCAUGCUCAGCAUUCAUCUGGCCCCCGCUUGAUGCGACUCGCGUUAUUCAGUCAUUACCACGGCUGCACAGGAACCGCUUGUUUUUUUGGAGCGAUGUUGCACUGUGUGUGGGUCAGAAGACGUGUUUGCUCCUGCUAGGUGCAAACAUGAAGGUCGCUUUGAAUAAGGUUUCAAAAAGAUCCAGCAAUCUAAAUCCUGUUUAUCAAAUUGAAAAAAAUGAGUUGGAGAUGUUUCUGGAGGAGAAGAAAAUACCAAGGCGCAGUCGCUAUUUAUAGAUGUCUAUGUGAAGGUGGCAACGUUGGAGUGUAGCGUAUUUUUAUCCCAAUAGAGGAGGUAUCUGUCUAUCUCCCACAAAAUGCUGGAGGGGGAUGUUACAGCACUCAGUUCAUGCAAAAAGAAACUAGCAUAAGUCCCAGUUUAAUUUGUAUGUUCUGUGUUCUCCAAGGGCAAACUUUCACACUCUUAAUUUUUCUCCUCUGGCUCACUUUGCCUCUGUAUUUCUUGCAUGACAAAGUUUCUCAUCCAAAUAGCUGUUUAGUGGCCUGGAUGGAUUAUCACUGUGUGUGGGGUGUAGUUUAGGUCUGUUAUUCAUCAGGGAAGCAUGGCAGUUUUGUAUAUGCUUCAGCAUGCAGCAUCUCUCUGUUCUUCUCAUCAGUGGCAAAAUCAUGUUUAGUUUAUGUUAGGACUGAAGCCAGAUAAGGAAGAUACUUCAAUGUAAAAAGUAACCAGAUCUUUGUGCAUGCUAGGGGAGGUUCUUAAGAGUUCAAAGGAUUCCAUGUAAAUUAUUUAUGCAUUCACCUCCUAGCAAACCCUUUUAUUCUUGAAUUCCAGACAGCUUUUUAUAUGUUGAAAAUCCAAAGUCUUGUUCUCUCUGCAUAGAUGUUAAAGAUCUAAAAAUCUAGCCAGACUUCUCUGGAAUAGUUUAGUGGCAGUGCUAAUUUGUCUUAGUGCAAUACUGGCUAAGUGGCUGCACUUUGAAGGUGUCUUUCUGAUACUGAUUUGUGCAUGUACAGCUGUAUCCUGGAUAUACGCUGCUUUGUCCAUAUACACACAACCAGAAUGCACCCAUCCCAUACUAGUAUGUAUGAAGUACACUCAAAGGUGAUUUAAAUGCUACCAGAUAAGAAAUAAUUUGGGAUGGGCUGUAACUAAAAUAUUCCUUAUUUUUUAGGACUCUGUGAAAUUCCUGACUGCAGCCCAUAUCUUAUAUUAUUGAUAAUAUUAAUUUAGCAGCUCUGCUGGCUCCUGCUUGCACUCUAUGCUUGGAAUCAUAUGACCUCUUGACUUGCUUGAUGAUGAUGGGAUUUAUUUUAUUUUUUGGUUUCAUGGGUGCUCCUGAGCUCAUGGGGAUGAAGAGCAACAAGCUAGCAAGAAAAUGUCUCUUCUGAGAGGAGAAACUUCAGUCAAACUUGUGAUUUUCUCUGCUCCAUGGAGUAAAGGAAAUUUAUUUAUGGAAUAACUUCUUGUUGAAAACAAAACAUGUCUUGUAUCCUACUUUGGAUGAUGUAUCUGACUGCAGUGCAGCAUGGCACUUCCAAGAUGACUCCUUGCUGCUCUUAGAGCAAGAGCUGCACAUCACCAGGCUUCAGUUCAGUGAAGGGUCUGUACGCCUCAAUAUCCCGCUGGAGCAGCUGAAAUAGCGUGCGGUCCAUUCUGCAUGUGUUUAAAACCACCAGAUCCAAAAGGCAUAGGAGUUAAAGGACUAUCCCCGUGCUACUCACUAAAGCUAGCCGGAGCUGUCUGGAGAAUCGCAGUGCUCUUGCUGAGACCUCUCCUCUCUCCUCACCAUUUCUGCUGACUCCAAGCAUUUGAUCUUAAAAUGUUUUGGGCAGCUGCAAUAGAUGAAUGUCAUCAUUAUAUAAUAACAAGUUUGUACUUGUCCUGAGACCUAGUAAGAGAAAUGUGAAAUGUAUGAAUAGAGAGAAGGAGAAAAGAUGAGCACAUUUGUGCUUUUUAUCUUGGGCCUGGAGAUUCCAGCUGGGGAAGUCACCACGCUAGCCUGCAGCCCGCCCUGCAGCCCGCACUGGCAUGCCUCGCUGGCCGCGGUAGCGUCAACAGGAGUUGUUCCUCGUGCUGCGUCUCCCGUCCUCCCCUCCUCAAGUGCUACCUAACAAACAUUGCUCAGUGCCUUUGGGGACUGAGCUAAGUUCUGUCUGUUAAACGUAACUGGCCGUAGCCAGGCAGGUCUCCUCGGCAGGAGCUGCAGGUGGGCAGGCAUCUUCCCCUUUUGCACUGCAAAAGAGAUCCGGGGAUCGCUGAGCUUCCCCUGCCGCAGAGGUGGCACAAGCCUACCUGUGCUGCCUAGAGCCCUGCUGUGCUUCUGCCUGGUCCUAAAAAAAAUCACUGUAUGGAAAUGAGAGAAGCAAAGGAUCUUGGUAAGGGCUGCAACAGGAAUAAAAAUAACACCGUUGCUUUUACUGAGCACCACCAAGCCUGGGCUGAAACUGAGGCAUGGACAGAAGAAAAAGAAAAAAAAAAAGAAGGAAAGAAGAGACUCUAGUUCAUAUGUGCUGCAUUUGCUAGUGGGAGAACCUGAGACCUGCGCUCCAAAGAUGUAUCUUUUUUGUGUGUGAUGCAUCACAGAUGACUGAUCAACACCACAAAGAUUCCUUAGGAUACAUAUACCACAUCGCACUCACACAAGGUACAGUGUACUUUAAAGUAUGCGCUUCUGUACAACCACACAGGCAAGUAUGGACAUUUACAUUAUGCAGGCAAAUAUUUGUCUUUAAGUUUGCAUCUCUGCAAUUCUGAAAAUGCCCUGAGAUGUAACAAACGUUUGAGUUACGCAUUUGAAUGUUGUGAAAGCUUUGUAGGGACUUUAUACAAAGAACACUUCAGAUGGAAGAAGUGGAAUUUCCGGAAUAUAAUGCAGGUCAAAUGAAACCACGAGCUGGUCUCACCCCAAAUUCAAUCUGAGCCAAGCUGCUUUAACAAAUCUAGUAACAUGACUUAAUUAUUUAAGGAAAGCUUUAGUACGCUUACAAAAAGUGACAGAAACAACUGUUAAUUCUAAAAUUAACCUAGCAAAUCAGUCCCUAGAUAAAAUAACAGGUAACUUGUUUCAAAUUUCUCAUUAGUUAGUAUCAAAGUGUUUUGCCAAGGACUUAGGUGUCACUACGUCCUUUCCCUCUUUUUUAAUGGAUGGGGAAACUGAGGCUCAGAGAAGGGAAAUAAUACCCUUCUCCACCUCUAACAUUUACACCUUUGCACUUAACUGACUUAAUUGCUGUCAAUCAAAAAUCAAUAUGUUGCCUGAAAUUUGGAGCAUCUAAAAUGCUUCCCCCAAAAGUCAGGAAGCACCUGAAAACUCCUGAGAAAAACAGCUGCUGUGAAGUUUUUGCAAGGAGAAAGACAAGUUGUUUUUGAAUCAGCUUGAGCAUCAAGGCAAUUACUGUUGUGACAAGUUCAAAAUAGUCAAAUAUCACAGGGAAAUAACAGCCAGAUUUGCAAACAAAUUAAUGAUCUCUUACUUAAAACAUUCAUGCAAAAUCAGUAACAUGAAAGUUUCAUAGCUCUUGGUACACAAUAAUACAACUUUCUAUGUUUAUGGAAAGAGUAAAAAAAUGUGGGCUCUCCUUACCCCUUCCAUGUGGAUCCGGGGAUUUGGUGCCAGUCUAUAUUGGUUGAGCUGUAAACCUCUCGGGACUCUCCUGAUGGAGGCAGGGGAGGACAGGACUCCAGAUCUCUGAAUUGAACCAAACCUCGCAACAUUCUGCCCACAUCUGACACCAUCCAGUAAACGAAUUAGGAGCAAGUUGGACGGUAGCUGUUCGAUGCUGCAGAGGACUAGAGUCCUGCACUCCGGGCACCUGAGUUCCUUCUGGGAUUUCAGGAUUCUCUGCAGACAUGGCUUGCAGAAGGUAUGCUGGCAUGGCAGCACCUUAGCUGUGGCGUCUAGCUUUUCAAAGCACACAGGACACUCCAACAGGUCAAGUAAAGCUAAAUCAUCCAUCUUCAGCGAAGAACUCCCGUCACAAGCAGAGCCAGAGACAUCCACAUGAUACAUUCACCCGAGCAGGCUGAGACUUCUUUCUGCAGCGUCGAAAACGACACCAAAAUCCUAGGCUCCGACAACCAUCCUGCGUGGAGGAAAAGGGAGGAGGAAAGAAAAGAGCAGAACUUGACUGCUACAGUAUGUAAUAUAUCCCACCUACAUUGCAAAGCGGUGCCUCACGAGCCAAUUUGCAAAUGUAUACUUUGUGCUCACAUCCAAGUUUGGAGUGAGUCAUUUAUGAUUCAGUACUAGCAAGAAGAACUGUAUUCAGGCUCGUGCCAGAUGAGGAAGAGACCCGGGCUCUGUUCACUGGGGCAGAUAAAUAACUGUCGCUCCGAUGAGGAAAGCUAAUUCAUGCCUCUCAUCCCAAGCAGAGAAGUCUGAAACAGGACAGGUAUAUUCAUCCUUGCUCAUGCUGGAAGCCACGUUUUCUUUAAUGCUCGCUGCUCUGCAGAACACAGUUGACAGUACAGGGAAAAUUUUAGCAGCUCAGGAGAUAAGAAGCUCUGAUAAACAUCAGAUCGAACCUGCUUACUCCGAGCUCUGGUUUAAAGCAGCCGUUGCUGCACACGGUCCCUCGCACACCUACACGUUGCCUCAUUCUUGAGAUCACUCCUAAUUAAGCUUUCUAUCUGCCAGUUUUGACAGCAGCUCUAUAAAAAGUCAUUUAAACACAAAAACUACCCUUUUCCACCUGGGGGACAGACGUCGGCAGACCUGCAGCGACGUCCUCGCCCGCCUGGGCUGCCUCAGCUCUCCAGAGCGGCCCGGGGAGCUUGUUCCUCCCGCGGCGUGCAGUCACUCGACCUGUUUAGCUCCUUUGGGAACUGCCAGCUGGUUUAAACUGAGCCCUGCACAGCCCCCGGCUCCGAGCCGUGACUUGCGAAAGCGGGACAGCUCCCCGGCGCGCGGCAGGACGCAGCGCGGCCGCGUUUCAGCGUGCGCGUGUGGAAUCCAGGGAGCCGCCGUCUACCGGGGACGGGCUCUGUUCCAGCGCGGGGAGAAACGUCGGCCGCGCCGAAGCCUCCCGCCUGCACGCAGCGCGGCCCGUCUGCGCGCGCCAGACACGGAGUCGCCCCCGGGCGAGCCGCGUGGCACAUGCCGGGCGGGCCACGCCGGGGGUCCCCGUGCCGGGGGGACCCUGUUCCAGAGGAAACGUUCUCGGUCGCAGCGACGUGUUUCUGUUUUCCCACGCGUGGGUAACGCGCUCAUCUGGUGUUCUGCACGUGCGACACGCAUUCCCGCAUACUUUUGUAGAGGAAUGUUUCAGAAGUACUUAGUGGUGCUGGAAAAUGUGGUUUUGACUGUUUUUCCCCCCACAGGAUGUGAUUUUGUUGCAACAAAAAGGUUUUUUUUAAAAAUUUUUUUUUUAAUGGUAGCUAUUUAGCUAAAUUAAAAUGUUGACAAACAUCUUCAGGAUAAUGCAAAAAAACAAUUACUCUGUUCUGUUUCAUCUCAGAAACAGAGUUUCCAUUUACUUUGGUAUUUUUUUGUGGUCUGUCAUAUGUUGAUUUGUGCUUGGCUGACCAAAUGCAAACUUUUAAAUGAACAAUAUUGAAAAUAACGUCAUCUAAUAUUCUGGCAUUUUUAAAUGCAAUGCUUGGCGUAAACUAUACUGACACCAAAGGUUUGAAGGUUUUUUAAUGUUUUCUUCCCUAUUUCCAUUCUGUGAUUAAUACUUACAUAUUGUAUUUUUGUCUCAUUAGAAAUGAAAUAAAAUGAUGAAAUAGAAUUGAGAAAUGAUGGGAAAUGAAGUUGACAAGAUAUCAGCUAAUGCUAAAUAUGAUCAAAUUUGCUCUAUAAAUUCUUUUAAAUUUUUUUUCUAAACCUUAAGCAAAUCCUAGCCUGUUUUAGUUGUACUGUAAAAACAAUGGACAAGAUUGAAUAUGCACAUGAAAGAAGUAUCCAUACUCUAAAGCAAAUAGUUCUGUAGUCCACAGCAAACUACAAGGCCGAAUCAAUGCGCUUUUGCUCAAUGCUUCGAACCUUCCCACGUAAUCCUCGCCGGGAGCGGGACCCGGCGCUGGGACUCGGAGCUGUCCCAGGACGCCCACAGGCUGCGCAGGCUGCUUAACGCUAGUUCCUCUGUGAAGCACCCCUCAGGCUAACACCCCCAUUUUAUACACGGAGAAAUUCAGGAGAUGAGGCCGCACAGCAAAUCAAUGUCUGAUUUGGGAUUAGGAUGUGAGACUUGCCUGUUUCCCCACUUAACACUCAGAGCACCCUA